CAUCCAAAAGACAGGUAAUAACAAAUACUGGCCAGGAUGUGGAGAAAAGGGAACCCUCAUACACUGUUGGUGGGAAUGUAAAUUAGUACAACCAGAUGGAAAACAGUUUGGAAGUUCAUCAAAAAAGUAAAAUAGAAGAAGGGGGAACUGGGAAUACUGUUGUAAAGUUCCUGCACUACAUAUGAAGCAGUAUAGCAUUUUUCAAAAGUGAAUUUAGAUUAGUUAAAAAUACACAUUGAAAACUCUAGGGUGACACUAAAAUUUUUUAAAAGAAGUAUAAUGAGACUGCUUAGCAUGGUUGGUAUGAUUUUCUCUAGCAGAGUUCAGCUAUGCAGGAUACAGGCACAGAGUAGGCAGAAAAAUGGCUGUGGUUUAACCAAGUGAGUACUGUUAAGUGAGAGAGGGGCAGAGAAGACAAGGGCAUAUGCAGGGGGUGAUUAUAACAGGUGGUUGUGCUGCGAAGUGAGGGUACUCGGGGAUGAGGAACAGUGAAAAAGUGGCAAAAAGUGGUAAUAUCAGUGAAUUGUACUUCUCCAGAAUUUGAUUUCUGGUGGAGUCAAAUAACUAUCCAGUUUGGGGUAUCAUAGGGCAACAGUUGAGGUAUAGGAGGUAGAAGUCAGAGUGGGAUAAUUGAGGUUAUGAAGGGUUUGGUACUGACUGGUACUGACAAGGUCUGGGUUAUGACCAUGGGAAUGAAUGACUGUAGAAGGGUAGAGGAUGAGACUAUUCCAGGAGAGAGGGGUCAGAGAACUAAGAGGCGAGGUUGUGGGGAGUAUUAUUUAUGUGGAUAUCGAAGUGACCAAAGAAUGAUAGGAAUGGCAUUGAAGAGAGUAACAGUGAGUCAGGUGCUGAAGAAUUUAAGGACUGACAGAGAACUGGUGUCUAUCAGAAAUUAGUAGAUAUAUAUCACAAGGAGGGAUUGUGAUUGACAUAUCCUAAUUUCAUGAGGCUUAAAACUAGAUGUCUUUUAGGGAGGAGGAAAUGGUUUGGAAAUAAGAGCAAAGAGGUGACCUGCCUCACCUUCAGGUGCUGUGGUACAAGGAAUGUGGGGAAUAAAACAUUCAUCAGUGACAGGGCAUCAGGGGAAGUUGUUCUCUCAGCUGGAAGCCAUGUUUCUUUAACGGCAGAAAGAAAACAGGAAAAAGUGGGAACUGUAGUUUUGCUUCAGACUGGUUUAAUGAUAAUUGUGAAUGGAUUUUGAAACCAAGUAUUUGUUAGGGGUCAAAUAUUUUAAGAUCAGAAUUUAAGCUC
rnacentral:lncRNA from 1 species